CAAUGCUGGGGUGGCCUUGCUCUGGGAACAAGUUUCCCAAGUUUCCUAAGUGUUGGAAGGGGUAAGUCAGACUGCAGUGACACUGUUGGUGAUGAAAGUAGGACUCAUUUGCUGAAUUACAGGAUUACAUUUAAAAUAAGGUAUGCUCAGUUGUUGCUUUGGUCCCUUCUGAUCUUGACGAUAUGUAGAUGGUGGCCUUUGAGACUUCCAUGUAUUUCUGAGAAGCAAGGCCACCUUCAGAGUUCAAACAGAAACACAUGCUAUAACCAGAGCAUGUUGAAAGCUGUGACUUCAUUUCUUGGAACUUUAACAGCUGUGUAGCUCAAAGACAAAUAACUCAUCCCUGGCUGGUCCAUCUCAUAACACAGACAUCCAGAAAAUGUCUGGCUUUUUUCUUUUUUUUUUUUUCUCUGUUACUUGGCAUCAAAUACCUCUGAUUUUGUUCCCUUCUAGACUGAGAACAUAUAUAGCUUGUUCUUGAGGAGUAAUUUUGCAUCUUGCUGAAGGCUUGUUUCCACCAGUGUUACGUGGUCCCUGGAAAAUUCUAAUGAUUUAGCAGUACUUGUCCAGUUUCAAGUGCAACCUCUUCCAUCGGCAGUGAUUUCUGUCAUUUCAUUUGGAUUUUCAAAGAAAAAAACAUCUGUUUUCUCAAAAUUCUGUUGGCAGCUCUUCAGCCCAACCACUUCCACAGAGCCCCAGUGAGCUCUGUAACAAAGCUAAUUCCCCUACAACUAAUUCUAGAUGUCAGUGCUGAAUGUGCUGAUUAUUUAUUUUUAUUUUUUUCCUGCAGAAAUCCAUGUGAUCAAUCUUGAGCUGACAAACCACAGCAUUUCUGAGGGUGUAAAUUCUGAUAUUGAAAGGAGAGGAAGGUGUCAUGGGAGCAAGGUGGAGAUUUUUUGCUGAAGAGUGUGAGGAGGGAGAUAAACUACUGAGGAAGUCAUUGUUUCGGGAAGUCAUUUUGGGUGAAGAUUGCCUGUUUCGUUUCCUAUUUGUUGCUUGCCCUUGGACUGAACAUAAGAGAAAAACAAAUUCCUGGCCUGAACCACUGAUGGAGCACCUGGAGAAAGGACCUGAUCAGCCUUGGGAGCACAGGUGAAGGCAGUUCAGCUGUGUGAUAGGAAGGAGUGGAACCUGGCUGCAUCUCUCUUAGAUCUCAUUGAAGGGCUGACUGCCACGGAGGAAGGCUCUCUGGUUGGAGAUUCUUCCCUUGUGGAGUUUUCCCUGUGAGCCUAAAUCUUCAGAGAUGGAAUUAACUUAAGCAUUUCUGGCCAUCUCCAUGAUGCUGUAAUCCUUGAGUCCCUCUAGCUACUUACAAAUUGUAUUCUGGAACGGAGCCUGAAAACUGAGGGAUCUUCCACAUUCAGAAACAAAGCAAUGGUUGAAAAAGUGGAACUGACAACAACUAUGAAGCAUAAAUUUCCAUAUCUUCCUUCUUUGACAUGCCUUGAGAGUUCUAAGAUACUUCAAGAGAUACUGUAUGUGGCAAACAGAAGUCUAAGCUACCUGCUAUUUGUUGCUAGUGCUGAUAACUCCAUCUUCUGACUGAAGUCCAGCGUGAGUAACCAAAACUUUCCUACUUAAAAUUUCUCUGCAUUUUCAGUUGGAUUUGUUUGUUACAUUCUGAGUUAAACUAUGCAGUUUAGCAAUUGUCAAAUGGCAAGGACCAACUCUUAAGCUCUGUUUAGGAAGAACUGUCUCUUGGAAAAAGGAGAGAAGGAAUGUUUAUUCCUAUAAAUGUAGUUUAUAGGGCUGUUCCAUAGAGCUCUUCAUAGAGUCCAGUACACAUGUUCACUGCAAUGAGAAGGAAAUACAGUGGGUUGCAGCUAGUUGAAAUUUGUUAUGUGAUCAAUUGCCAUGAGGAAACAACCCUAUUAGACUUAAGGUUUCAUCUCGAUUUGUCUUACAGCAGUUUUACUUUGUCCUGAGCUCCUCAUACGUGAAUAUUGUACUAUUGAGUCCUUACAAAGAAAAGAGGCUUAUUUAUUGCAUCAAAAACAAGUAUGAGAUAAAGGAGAAUGGAUAUUUUUCAAUAUUACAUGAUUUUUUUUUUUCUGUGUCUGACUGGUGUCUUUAUCUAAACAAGGCAGUCAGGAAAGCAAGGUAUGGAAUUAAUAGUAAGUAUCUGUAGGAAGAGGUGUUUCAGCAGUUGGAUCAUUAUUUUCAUAUUUAGGAGACCAGAGUAUAAGUCCAUUCUCUCGUGAGUGUGCCUACAGUGGGCAAGUGGUUUCACCUUUGUGUGCUUCAGCUCCUCAGUUCUGCAUUAAGGCUAAUAACAUUGCCUCAUUAUGGCUUGCUGUACGGGAAUACCAGCCUGAUGUAGUUUGAAGGAGAUGUCCACUAGGUGGGAAUCAUUGCAGCCGUGGCACUUAAUGUGUAUUUCUUAAGGCCCUGGACUGUGGCUCUAGCAAAGGCUGUGACACUUAUUCCACACUCCACUCAAUGAACUUUCACUUAACUGCUCAGAGAGGAUGCAGGGGAGGGAGGAAGUCCCAAGCUGUUGUGGUAGUUCUUUUUUAAGGGACUGGUGAAGAAGUCAGCGUGCAUUUGGAGCAGAGUGGUAAGGUGUUUGUUUUUUUGCUUGUUAUUCCCCCACGUCCUGAAGAUUAUUUGCCUGUGUGUACACAGUGGGAGAAGAUGCCCAACUGCGAUCCAAGCGUGAAUGAAACAGAGCUUGCACAGUUCAAAGCCGACACAGUCUCAAAUUCUUGCUCCUAGGGGAGGAAAAAAAAACAAAAACAACUUCCUUUAUUUUUUCCUUUACUAAUAAAUAAAUAAAUAAAUAUAAAAUCCCUCAUCUUCCUUUUAAAAAAUGAUUACAUUUAAAUCAUAUAAAUCAGUACACUUCCUCCAGGAGAGGAAGAGAGGGAUAUUCCUUUUCCCAAAGCCUGUUUUUAAUCACUGGGUGAAUUUUGAGACAAUCUCUGAACAUUCAGCACUUGUGGUCAGUUUUCCCCACCCAAAAUGCUAGUGGUUUUUGCAGACAUUCCAUAAACACAGGAAGCUUUGACUGUGUCUCUAACAGAUAGAGAGACAGAAAAGCAAAAUACC
rnacentral:lncRNA from 1 species